CUCAUAUCAAAGGGUCUGAAUAUCAAAGGGUCUGAAAAUAAGACACCUGAAGAGAGAGAAUACAACACCUCUCAUAUCCUGGCAAGAGGUCUCAUAGAGAGAGUUUUUGGAGUGUGGAAAAAAAGAUUCCCAUGCCUAAAGGAGGGGCUCCGCACGAAGAUGGACAAUACACUGACAAUCAUUAUUGCAGUGGCAGUUCUGUAUAACUUUGGCAAGAGACAAGGAGACGAGCUACCUGAGGAGGCUGAGGAGGUCCUACCUGAGGAGAAUGCAGAAGAUGGCCAGGUGCAACAUGCUGCCAAUGCAAAUGGGAAUGCUGUGAGGAGAACCUUGAUUGAGAACCAUUUUGCAGCCUAAGGGUGGAACUAGAAGCACCAGAACUCAAGAGUGGGGACAAGACUGGAGGAAACCAAAUUGCUUGGGAAAUCAUUGUUGCUUAUAUAAAGAAUUGCU